ACGGCGAGUGAGCGGCAAAGCUCAAUUUGAAUCUGGUACCUUUGGUGCCCGAGUUGUAAUUUGGAGAGUACCACUUUGGGACUGUACUUUGCCUAUGUUCCUUGGAACAGGACGUCAUGGAGGGUGAGAAUCCCGUGUGGCGAGGGUGUCAGUUCUUUGUAAAGGGUGCUCGAAGAGUCGAGUUGUUUGGGAAUGCAGCUCUAAGUGGGUGGUAAAUUCCAUCUAAAGCUAAAUACAGGCGAGAGACCGAUAGCGAACAAGUACAGUGAUGGAAAGAUGAAAAGAACUUUGAAAAGAGAGUGAAAAAGUACGUGAAAUUGUUGAAAGGGAAGGGCAUUUGAUCAGACAUGGUGUUUUGCGCCCCUUGCCUCUCGUGGGCUUGGGACUCUCGCAGCUCACUGGGCCAGCAUCGGUUUUGGCGGCCGGAAAAAACCUAGGGAAUGUGGCUCUGCGCCUCGGUGUAGAGUGUUAUAGCCCUGGGGAAUACGGCCAGCCGGGACCGAGGACUGCGAUACUUGUUAUCUAGGAUGCUGGCAUAAUGGUUAUAUGCCGCCCGUCU
rnacentral:rRNA from 1 species